rnacentral:rRNA from 1 species
AACGAACGCUGGCGGCAUGCCUAACACAUGCAAGUCGAACGAGACCUUCGGGUCUAGUGGCGCACGGGUGCGUAACGCGUGGGAAUCUGCCCUCUGGUUCGGAAUAACUCAGGGAAACUUGAGCUAAUACCGGAUAAUGACUUCGGUCCAAAGAUUUAUCGCCUGAGGGUGAGCCCGCGUCGGAUUAGCUAGUUGGUGAGGUAAAGGCUCACCAAGGCGACGAUCCGUAGCUGGUCUGAGAGGAUGAUCAGCCACACUGGGACUGAGACACGGCCCAGACUCCUACGGGAGGGAGCAGUGGGGAAUAUUGGACAAUGGGCGAAAGCCUGAUCCAGCAAUGCCGCGUAAGUGAUGAAGGCCUUAGGGUUGUAAAGCUCUUUUACCCGGGAUGAUAAUGACAGUACCGGGAGAAUAAGCCCCGGCUAACUCCGUGCCAGCCGCCGCCGUAA